rnacentral:rRNA from 1 species
GACGAACGCUGGCGGCGUGCCUAAUACAUGCAAGUCGAACGCAGUGGGGACGGGUGAGUAACACGUUGGUAACCUCCCCUCAGAGGGGAUAACACUUGGAAACAGGUGCUAAACCGAUACUGAUGGAUGGACCCGCGGUGCAUUAGCUAGUUGGCGGGGUAACGGCCCACCAAGGCGAUGAUCAGGAGCCGGUCGGAGAGGAGGAACGGCCACAUUGGGACUGAGACACGGCCCAGACUCCUACGGGAGGCAGCAGUGGGGAAUCUUCCGCAAUGGACGAAAGUCUGACGGAGCAACGCCGCGUGAGUGAAGAAGGUUUUCGGAUCGUAAAACUCUGUUGUUAGAGAAGCGGUAUCUAACCAGAAAGCCACGGCUAACUACGUGCCAGCAGCCGCGGUAAUUC